rnacentral:rRNA from 1 species
AUGGCGUCCCAAAGCAGCCCAGCCGGAGUGCCGCCCGGUUUCCCUAAACCUACGAACUACCUUGCCGCCGCCGAUCUUCCUCGUGCCCUCGAACACUGUCGCGUGCUGCUGGACGAGCUGCUGCAACAUGAGGACGGGUGGGUGUUCGCCAAGCCGGUGGAUACAUACGAACCCGGACUCGGUGACUACCACUCCGAAAUCCGCCAACCCAUGGAUCUCGGCACCGUCCGCCGCCGCCUUGAACGGUGUCGCUACCAGAACCCGCUCUGCUUUGCCAGUGAUGUCCGGCGUACCUUCCGCAACGCCAUGACCUACAACUACAAGCGUGAUGAUGUCUACAAAAGUGCUGAUGCGCUCUCUCGCAUCUUCGAGUCAGGGUGGGCCUCCAUUUCUGCAACGCUCCAGUCGCCGCCGCCGGUUGCCAUGCGCAGGGCAAGGCUCAAGGAUGAGCUGCCUCGGCUGCCGGUGGACUUGCAGGGGAAAGCGGUCGUCAUUAUGAAGGACAUCGGCGGGUGGAUCCAGGAGGUGGAUGGGAGGGUUGAGGUGGAUUUGGACAAGGCCGACGAGGCGACUCUUGACAAGCUCGAGUGGCUGCUCGCUCUCGCCACCAUGAGGAAGGAGGCAGGAGUGCUGGAUAAUCAAACUGGGUGUGCCGCCGCAUGA